rnacentral:ncRNA from 1 species
ACUGCCAAGUUUAAGCAUACCAAUAAGCGAAGGAAAAGAAACUUAUUAGGAUUUCCUUAGUAACAGCAAGGGAAUCAGGAAAAGCCCAACUUAAAAGUCGGGCAUCCUAACAUUCGAAUUAUAGUAUGGAGAAAUGUCCUCAAUGGCCGACUGGGCCCAAGUCCCCUAGAAAAGAGUGUCCAAGAGAGUGAGAGCCUUGUCGCGCUCAAACCUUAUCACACCAUGAGGCGUUGUUUGCGAGUAGGUUUUUUAUUAUUAUUACGUAAAUUGCUCCUGUAGGUUAUCUUUAGGCAAACUUUCCAUUUUAAUUUACUUCGCUUGUAAAUAUUUUGAUG